rnacentral:piRNA from 1 species
UGAGAGUGACACUUUUCCCCCCAG